UGUUCAGUCCAAUCCCCACUCUAUACUAUAAUUCUAAAAAUAGAAAAAAAAGGAAUACGAAAGAGAGAUAGGCGCCUUU
rnacentral:tRNA from 1 species